AACAGAGGACCAAGAAGGCUGAGCCUGAUGAAGCAAGACUUUGCUGACCCACUCCUAGGAAAAAAGGGUUGGAGAGACAAGCCCUAUUGGGGGUCGGGGAGAGAGGAGAAAUCACAGGGCUGACUGUAUCACCCAACAUUU
rnacentral:snoRNA from 1 species